CCCGCUGAACUUAAGCAUAUCAAUAAGCGGAGGAAAAGAAACUAACAAGGAUUCCCCUAGUAACUGCGAGUGAAGCGGGAAAAGCUCAAAUUUGAAAUCUGGCGGCUCUGCCGUCCGAGUUGUAUUCUGGAGAAGUGCCUUCCGCGCCGGACCGUGUACAAGUCCCUUGGAACAGGGCGUCAUAGAGGGUGAGAAUCCCGUCUUUGACACGGACCCCCGGUGCUCUGCGAUGCGCUCUCGAAGAGUCGAGUUGUUUGGGAAUGCAGCUCAAAAUGGGUGGUAAAUUCCAUCUAAAGCUAAAUAUAGGCGAGAGACCGAUAGCGAACAAGUACCGUGAGGGAAAGAUGAAAAGCACUUUGGAAAGAGAGUUAAACAGUACGUGAAAUUGCUGAAAGGGAAACGCUUGAAGUCAGUCGUGUCUGCCGGGACUCAGCCUUGCUCCUGCUUGGUGUACUUUCCGGUCGGAUGGGCCAACAUCAAUUUUGACCGUUGGAAAAAGGCUUUGGGAAUGUGGCACCUUCGGGUGUGUUAUAGCCCUUUGUCAUAUACGACGGUUGGGAUUGAGGACUGCAGCACGCCUUUAUGGCCGGGGUUCGCCCACGUACGUGCUUAGGAUGUUGGCAUAAUGGCUUUAAGCGACCCGUCUUGAAACACGG
rnacentral:rRNA from 1 species